rfam:Calypte anna contig21330, whole genome shotgun sequence.
AGCAGAGUGGUGCAGUGGGAGCGUGCUGGCCCCAUACCCCAGAGGUUGAUGGAUGGAACCCAUCCCCUGCUA